rnacentral:sRNA from 1 species
AAGCUCCCGCGUCAGGUGUGGCUGGGAGGGCGUCACAGGUCCCAAGGGAGCGUCUUGCCUGAAGUUUCUCCUUCCUAACCCACUCGCUGCACUGCAUAGGUUGCUGAUGUUUUCAUUUCUGUGGCCUCGACCCCUAGGCUCCCUUCUCAUAAAUCUAGUACCCCAGGUCCCGGGCCCCGGACCGGCUCGCUAACUCAGUGGCAGUAUAUGCUUUCGACAUUUGGUCCUGAUGUCCAGGAAUAGCGCGGAAAGUUUGACUUUGUUAGGCGAAGCCGUUUUGGAACUGUGGAGGGAUGGGAAGAAAUCGCCGAGUGUCUUAAGCCGCGACAUACUGCUCUGCUCAGCCCUGGAAAUAGAGGUUUUCAGACAUUGAAAACUUUCCAAGUGCUCCGUCUUGGCGAGAAAGAACUGAAUUGGAAGGCGAAUUUAGAAUGAACUUUUUGCUUUUGUUCUUUGCAAAAAUUACAUAAAAUGUUGCAACAGUUCGAGACCAGGACUAUAACAAAACACAUUUCGUGGAGCUACUUUGUACUGCGCUUGGCGACUUACCUUGUCAGAGCUGAAUAAAAGUGGUUGAGUUCACAAA